rnacentral:rRNA from 1 species
UACGAAGGGUGCAAGCGUUACUCGGAAUUACUGGGCGUAAAGCGUGCGUAGGUGGUCUGUUAAGUCUGAUGUGAAAGCCCUGGGCUCAACCUGGGAAUGGCAUUGGGUACUGGCAGGCUAGAGUGCGGUAGAGGAUGGCGGAAUUCCCGGUGUAGCAGUGAAAUGCGUAGAGAUCGGGAGGAACAUCUGUGGCGAAGGCGGCCAUCUGGACCAGCACUGACAC